GGAGUUGGCCAGGCAGUCGCUCCGCUUUCGGGCGGGGAGGAAAGUCCGGGCUCCAUAGGGCAGAGUGCCAGGUAACGCCUGGGGGGUGUGAACCCACGGCCAGUGCAACAGAGAGCAGACCGCCUAAGCAGUUUCGACUGCCGGUAAGGGUGAAAGGGUGCGGUAAGAGCGCACCGCGCUGAUGGUAACAUUCAGUGGCAUGGUAAACCCCACUCGGAGCAAGACCAAAUAGGGGAACAUUGGUGCGGCCCGCACUGUUCCCGGGUAGGUUGCUUGAGGCAGACGGCGACGUCUGUCCCAGAUGAAUGACUGUCCUCGACAGAACCCGGCUUAUGUCCGACUCCACCU
rnacentral:RNase_P_RNA from 1 species